rnacentral:rRNA from 1 species
GACGAACGCUGGCGGCGUGCUUAACACAUGCAAGUCGAGCGGUAAGGCCCUUUCGGGGGUACACGAGCGGCGAACGGGUGAGUAACACGUGGGUGACCUGCCCUCAGCUCUGGGAUAAGCCUGGGAAACUGGGUCUAAUACCGGAUAUGACCCCAUGACGCAUGUCGUGGGGUGGAAAGCCUUGUGCGGCUGAGGAUGGGCCCGCGGCCUAUCAGCUUGUUGGUGGGGUGAUGGCCUACCAAGGCGACGACGGUAGCCGGCCUGAGAGGGCGACCGGCCACACUGGGACUGAGACACGGCCCAGACUCCUACGGGAGGCAGCAGUGGGGAAUCUUGCGCAAUGGGCGAAAGCCUGACGCAGCGACGCCGCGUGAGGGAUGAC